rnacentral:rRNA from 1 species
CCUACGGGUGGCAGCAGUGAGGAAUAUUGGUCAAUGGGCGCUAGCCUGAACCAGCCAAGUAGCGUGAAGGAUGACUGCCCUAUGGGUUGUAAACUUCUUUUAUAUGGGAAUAAAGUGCAGUAUGUAUACUGCUUUGCAUGUACCUUAUGAAUAAGGAUCGGCUAACUCCGUGCCAGCAGCCGCGGUAAUACGGAGGAUCCGAGCGUUAUCCGGAUUUAUUGGGUUUAAAGGGAGCGUAGGCGGGUUGUUAAGUCAGUUGUGAAAGUUUGCGGCUCAACCCGGGCCUUGCAGCGCGAACUGGCGUGCUUGAGUCCGCGGAAAGCAGGCGGAAUUCGUCGUGUAGCGGUGAAAUGCUUAGAUAUGACGAAGAACCCCGAUUGCGAAGGCAGCUUGCUGCAGCGGAACUGACGCUGAUGCUCGAAAGCGCGGGUAUCGAACAGGAUUAGAUACCCCUGUAGUC